GAUCAUGGCUCAGGACGAACGCUGGCGGCGUGCUUAACACAUGCAAGUCGAACGAGAAUCUACAGAUCGAGGAUUCGUCCAAGUGAGGUAGAGGACAGUGGCGGACGGGUGAGUAACGCGUGAGGAACCUGCCUUUCAGAGGGGGACAACAGUUGGAAACGACUGCUAAUACCGCAUGACACAUUGGGGUCGCAUGGCCCUGAUGUCAAAGAUUUAUCGCUGAAAGAUGG
rnacentral:rRNA from 1 species